UUUGAUCCUGGCUCAGGGAGACCGCUGCCGGCGUGCUUAACACCUUCAAGUUCGAACGGAGAAGGGGGGGGGCUUGCUCCCCCCGGGAUCAGUGGCGGACGGGUGAGUAACGCGUGAGCAACCUACCUGUAUGUGGGGAAUAACAUCUGGAAACGGGUGCUAAUACCGCAUAAAGCAUUUGUGGCGCAUGCUACGGAUGCCAAAGAUUUAUUGCGUACAGAUGGGCUCGCGUCUGAUUAGAUAGUUGGUGAGGUAACGGCUCACCAAGUCGACGAUCAGUAGCCGGACUGAGAGGUUGAACGGCCACAUUGGAACUGAGAGACGGUCCAGACUCCUACGGGAGGCAGCAGUGGGGAAUAUUGGGCAAUGGGCGAAAGCCUGACCCAGCGACGCCGCGUGAGGGAAGAAGGUCUUCGGAUUGUAAACCUUAGUCAACAGGGAAGAAGAAAGUGACGGUACCUGUGGAGGAAGCCACGGCUAACUACGUGCCAGCAGCCGCGGUAAUACGUAGGUGGCGAGCGUUAUCCGGAUUUACUGGGUGUAAAGGGUGUGUAGGCGGGAUUGCAAGUCAGAUGUGAAACCUAUGGGCUUAACCCAUAGCCUGCAUUUGAAACUGUGAUUCUUGAGUGUGGGAGAGGUAAGCGGAAUUCCCGGUGUAGCGGUGAAAUGCGUAGAUAUAUGGAGGAACACCAGCGGCGAAGGCGACUUACUGGUCUGUGAUUGACGCUGAGGCUCGAAAGCGUGGGUAGCGAACAGGAUUAGAUACCCUGGUAGUCCACGCCGUAAACGAUGAGUGCUAAGUGUUGGAGGGUUUCCGCCCUUCAGUGCUGGAGUUAACGCA
rnacentral:rRNA from 1 species